rnacentral:rRNA from 1 species
AAAUAGAUACCCCGGUAGUCCACGCCGUAAACGAUGAGUGCUAAGUGUUAGAGGGUUUCCGCCCUUUAGUGCUGAAGUUAACGCAUUAAGCACUCCGCCUGGGGGAGUACGGCCGCAAGGCUGAAACUCAAAGGAAUUGACGGGGGCCCGCACAAGCGGUGGAGCAUGUGGUUUAAUUCGAAGCAACGCGAAGAAUCUUACCAGGUCUUGACAUCCUCUGACAACCCUAGAGAUAGGGCUUCUCCUUCGGGAGCAGAGUGACAGGUGGUGCAUGGUUGUCGUCAGCUCGUGUCGUGAGAUGUUGGGUUAAGUCCCGCAACGAGCGCAACCCUUGAUCUUAGUUGCCAUCAUUAAGUUGGGCACUCUAAGGUGACUGCCGGUGACAAACCGGAGGAAGGUGGGGAUGACGUCAAAUCAUCAUGCCCCUUAUGACCUGGGCUACACACGUGCUACAAUGGACGGUACAAAGAGCUGCAAGACCGCGAGGUGGAGCUAAUCUCAUAAAACCGUUCUCAGUUCGGA